rnacentral:rRNA from 1 species
GAUGAACGCUGGCGGCGUGCUUAACACAUGCAAGUCGAACGGAAAGGCCCAAGCUUGCUUGGGUACUCGAGUGGCGAACGGGUGAGUAACACGUGGGUGAUCUGCCCUGCACUUCGGGAUAAGCCUGGGAAACUGGGUCUAAUACCGGAUAGGACCACUUCUUGGAUGUUGUGGUGGAAAGUUUUUUCGGUGUGGGAUGAGCUCGCGGCCUAUCAGCUUGUUGGUGGGGUAAUGGCCUACCAAGGCGUCGACGGGUAGCCGGCCUGAGAGGGUGUACGGCCACAUUGGGACUGAGAUACGGCCCAGACUCCUACGGGAGGCAGCAGUGGGGAAUAUUGCACAAUGGGCGCAAGCCUGAUGCAGCGACGCCGCGUGGGGGAUGACGGCCUUCGGGUUGAGAACUCCUUUCGCUAGGGACGAAGCGUUUUGUGACGGUACCUGGAGAAGAAGCACCGGCUAACUACGUG